UCAGUUACUCAGCUUUUAGUCUGGUUAUAACCGUUAUCGGGAAAAGUUGAAUCAUUUUGGUGUGGAUAUUGUGAAUUUUUUUAAGUGUUUCCGUUAAUAUUUAUAUGGAAAUUUUUUUAACCAUACAUACAUAUUAACACCAAACAUCUAUUUUUCAAACAAUAGAAUAGAAAAAAAAAAAGAGGUAUUUGGAGAAGGAAAUGAAUGGAAGAUGCAUAGGAAAAUUUCCUUCUAUUACUUCAAAUCAAUAAAGAAUAAUUUUAAUAAACUAUUUUCUUAUAUAAUAAAUUAAAUUCUAAUGAACAUAAUAUUAUAAUAAAUUUGUAUUUGCAAUCCAAAAGAAAAAAUAAUAUAUUUUUAAGUUAAAUGGAUUAUAAAAGAAAAAACGAAAACAGAAAAAAGUUCGGAAGAUUAUUUUGUCUGGAAGUAUAGAAUUAUAAAAGAAAAAAAAAAAUAAAAAUUGAGAAAAGUCAUCAAUUGUGUUGGGCCGUUGCCGCAUUUAACACAGGAUAUUAAAUCUAUAAUUAAAGUUUGAGAAAUUCUGUUUCAAUAUAAAAAGGUGAAAUAUUCGUGCAAUUUUUUUAUGACAUUUAGAAAAAUUCCCUUCGUGCAUAAUAUAUUUUUUUUUUAUUUUAAAUUUUCAUUUUGUCAAAAUUUAAAAUAAUUUAAUUAUAAAAGUUAUAUUGAAAAUAAUUAUAAAAGUUUUGUUAUUUUAUUAAAAUAAAUAGUGAUUUUCUUGAAUUAUUUUGUAUACAUUAUUGUCGUCAUAACAAAUACAUGGAUAACUAGAAUUAAAAAAAAAAAAACAAAAACAACAAAUUUCAAAUUAAAAUUAAAUACGAAGAAAACAUAAUAAAAAUAAGUAAAAUAAAAACAAAAAAAAAAUUGUUAUUUUCAUAUUGCUUUCCUUUUUAUACACAUGUAAAACAGGACAUGGUGAAAUAAAUAUGGAAAAAAAAAGUUACAUUCGCUUCGCGUCUAAAUUGAAUUGAAUUGCAUAUUGUAAAACAAAAAAAGUUUUCUGAAAAAAUAUUAAUAAAAAUUAAAUAAGUGAAAAAGAAAAAUAAUUUUUAAAAUUUAUUUAAAACUUGAAUUCUUAAAAAUGUUUUAAAAUAAAUCAGUGUUUAAUAAAAAUACAUAGUUGAAUAUAAAAAAGAAAAAAAAGUGAAUAAGAAUUAAAAUAAAAACAAAAUAAAAAGUAAAGAGGUGAAUUUCAAUUUUAUACAUAAGUUCUGAUUCUCUCUUUCUCUCUAUUAUUUUGACUUGCCUUCUUUCAUUAAAGAAGAAAAAUAACAAAAAUAACAACAACAAAAUAUACAACACACAACGAACGAUUUUGAAGUGUGGUGAAUUUUAUGAAAGAAAAAAAAUAUAAGUUAAAAUUUUAUAAAAGAAGUAAGAAGCAUUAAAUUCAGUUCUUAUUAAAAUUUAAAUAAAAAUAAUUAUUAUAUUAUAUUUUUUAAUUUACUUUCAUAAAUAUUAUAAAUUAAUUAUUAAAUUAUAAUUAAAAAAAUUUGCAAAGGAAUAUUUGGAUAUACUCACAAGUAGGCUACAUAUAAUAAAUAAUCAAAAUAAAAAGUAAUCAAAAAGGAAAGAAAUAUUCGAAGCAAAUCUCGUUUUUUUGGGAAUAAUAAAUAAAAGACAAUUUUCGUACAGCGUCUGGAAUAUUCAUAAAAAUUUAGAUUGACAACUUUCAUAAUAAUUCCUCAAUUCUAUAAAAUAAAAUAAUUAAAAUUGUUCAAUACAAAAUUAUUUUUUUCCUUACAAUCUCUCUAUGGAUUAAUAAAAUUUGGAUGGAUUUAAAAAUAUAUUUAAUAUUUAAAAUUUAAAAAUAAAAAAAGGAAAAUAGUGGAUAAUUAAAUUUAUAUAUGAAUAUUUCAAUUUAUGAAUUCAAUUUAAUGUUCAACAAAAUUUCUUAAUAUUUUAUAAAAUAAUUAAAAAAAAAAGAAAAACAAAUUUAUAUGUAGUCGUAAAAUCCUGAAAUAAGUAUAUAAAUAAAAA